rnacentral:rRNA from 1 species
UACGGAGGGUGCGAGCGUUGUCCGGAAUCAUUGGGCGUAAAGGGCGCGUAGGUGGCGGGACAAGCGUGCGGUGAAAGCUCGGGGCUCAAUCCCGAGUCGGCCGUGCGAACUGUCUUGCUUGAGCACUGUAGAGGCAGGCGGAAUUCCCGGUGUAGCGGUGAAAUGCGUAGAGAUCGGGAAGAACAUCGGUGGCGAAAGCGCUCUACUGGGCCAUAACUGACACUCAGGGACGAAAGCUAGGGGAGCGAAUGGG